UUCGAGUGGCGGACGGGUGAGUAACGCGUGGGUAACCUGCCUUACACAGGGGGAUAACACCUGGAAACAGGUGCUAAUACCGCAUAAGCGCACAGGGCCGCAUGGCCCGGUGUGAAAAACUCCGGUGGUGUAAGAUGGACCCGCGUCUGAUUAGCUUGUUGGCGGGGUAAAGGCCCACCAAGGCGACGAUCAGUAGCCGGCCUGAGAGGGUGAACGGCCACAUUGGGGCUGAGACACGGCCCAAACUCCUACGGAAGGCAGCAG
rnacentral:rRNA from 1 species